rnacentral:rRNA from 1 species
GAUGAACGCUGGCGGCGUGCCUAAUACAUGCAAGUCGAGCGAACGGACGAGAAGCUUGCUUCUCUGGUGUUAGCGGCGGACGGGUGAGUAACACGUGGAUAACCUACCUAUAAGACUGGGAUAACUUCGGGAAACCGGAGCUAAUACCGGAUAAUAUUUUGAACCGCAUGGUUCAAAAGUGAAAGACGGUCUUGCUGUCACUUAUAGAUGGAUCCGCGCUGCAUUAGCUAGUUGGUAAGGUAACGGCUUACCAAGGCAACGAUGCAUAGCCGACCUGAGAGGGUGGUCCGCCACCACGGGACCGGGAACACGGCCCAGACUCCUACGGGGGGCGCAGUAGGGAAUCCUCCGGAAAGGGCCAAAGCCCGAACGGGGAAAGCCGCGGGAGUGAUGAAGGUCCUUGGGAUGGAAAAACUCGUUAUUAGGGAAGAAAAAAUGGGGAAGUAAACGAGGCACGUUUUAACGUAACUAAUCAGAAAAGCCCGGGUUAACAAGGGG